rnacentral:piRNA from 1 species
UGAGGCAUCUCCAGGUUUCUAGC